rnacentral:lncRNA from 1 species
GGAGAAAGGAAGCAAAGCACACUGCCAUGUGUGUACCUACACAACUGUCUUGCAUGUUCUGCUCAUGUACCCCAAAACCUAAAAUGCAAUAAAAAUUUUUUAAAAAAAGAAGGAAGGAUAAAGAGACCCAAUGAAAAUGUGGUUUCUACAAUUCACUCAAAAUAGUAAAGCAUUGAUACCCACAAACUAUGGUGAGUUAUGGAUAUAUAUUUCAAUACCUGGAGCAAUCGCUAAGAAAAUGAUGUGAAGCAAUAUACUCAAAACACUAAAAAUAAAUUAAGAUGGAAUCCUUAAAAAUGAUCAGAUAACCUAGAAGAAUAUAAAAAAGUUAACAAAGGAACAAGAGACAGAUAAAUCAAACAGAAAAAAAUAUUAUGGACUAACAUGACAUUAAUCUUAAAUGUAAAUAGCCUAAGUAUAAGUAAGAGAGGCUUGAAGAGUGGAAAAACAAUUGAUGCAAUCAUAAGCUGUGUACAAGGAACCUACUUCAAAUACAAUGACAUUGCUAUGUUGAAAGUAAAAGGAUGAAAAAGGAAAAUAUUAAUUUAAAAAGCAGGAAUAUCUAUAUCUAUAUAAGAUAAAGCCUACAUUAGGGAAAAAAUAUGAUAAACAUUGGCAUGGGCAAGGACUUCAUGACUAACACACCAAAUCAAUGGCAACAAAAGCCAAAAUAAACAAGUUGAGUCUAAUUAAACUUAAGAGCUUCUGCACAGCAAAAAGAAACUAUUAAUAGAGUGAACUGGCAACCAAGAGAAUGGGAAAAUAUUUUUGCAUCUACCCAUCUGACAAAGGGCUAAUAUCCAGAAUCUAAAAGAACUGAAGCAGAUUUACAAGAAAAAAACAAACAACCCAGUCAAAAAGUGAGCAAAGGAUAUGAACAGAUGCUUUUGAAAAGAAGACAGUUAUGCAGCCAAUAAACAUAGGAAAAAAAGCUCAUCAUCACCAUCAGUAAAGAAAUGCAAAUCAAAACCACAUUUAGAUACCACCUCAUGCCAGUUAGAAUGACAAUCAUUAAAAAAUCAGGAGACGAGAAAAGGCAUAGGGAGGACUCAAGAUGGUGCUUUGAGAACAACCCCGGAUUGGCGCUCUCGUUGUGUCCGUGGAGAGGU